CUAACUUUCAUAAUAAGGAGUAUUACCAACCGACCUCAGUUCAUCUUUCAGUUAUAUGCUUUUAUACACCAAUGAGGAGACGGGAGAGGUAGGACUUGCAUCGCGUUCAGCGUCACAAAUAAAACGGACUGACUAGCGAGCGUUGAAAAAUAAAUGUAGAAAUCUAUAUUAUUCAAUUAUUGCACCCACACUGCUUGCGCGCGCCAAGGAGCGUCUGCGUUGCCAAGGGCUAACGCUUCGAACACACCGACUGUGUCUUUGCAUCACUGCUGCAUAACAUUUUGCGCAGCUAGGCAACUAUACUGAUGCAGGUAUCUUUUGCAGAUGGUCGCAUGCGGUUGGACACAUGGAGGAGUAUCGUAUUUCGCAGUAUCCUCAAAACCGUGUCUUUUUGACACAACUGCUGACAGCUACAGGGACAUAAACACAAAAAAAUGCUGCUUGGAGACAAGUGUCCAGGAUAGUAGGAUUGCCAGAAGAUUCUAGGAGGAAGUGGAGAGGACUCAGGGACAGGUGACAGAGAGAGAGAAGAAGAGGUCUGGGUCAGCAGCCUUGGCGCUUCUGCUACAUUCUUUCUUUUCUGGAUCCAUUUAUUGUGCCUAUGGCAACGAGUGGCAAUUUUACAGCCAGACCCUCUACUACGUCAUCCACAAGUGUUGUCGCCACCGGUGCAUCAAGACCCUCAACGUCACCUACAAGUGCGACCAUCACCUCCACCGGUGGAGUGAGACCCUCUACAACAUCAUCCACGAGUAUGACCACCACCGGUGCAGCGAGACCCUCUACAACGUCUACAUCAUCCACGAGUAUGACCACUACCGGUGCAGCGAGACCCUCUACAACGUCUACAUCAUCCACGAGUAUGACCACUACCGGUGCAACCAUGGAAGAUGAUGAAAUGGAGGAAGCACCUCUGGAUCUAGGACCGCCUGAGAUUAUUAUGAACCUCACGGAAGUGACCACUGAGGACCUCGUUGAACAGGAUGUGGCCGUGGAGACAAACGAGAGAAACAGAGAGAGAAACAAAGAGGAACAACGUCACACCAGGCGUCGUCGGAGGCACCAGCCCCCAGAUCCACUCAACUCAUUUCAGCAGAGGCUCCUCCAAGUCGUCGAGAGGGAUGCAGCCCAACCUGAUGCUCACAGAAGGAGGAUGAAGAGACCCUCUUUGCCAUGAGCCUGGUGCCAACACUGAAGAGACUGCCUCAGCAAAGAAAAACAGUAUGGGGUUAAAAUGUAUCAGCUGCUUUUCGAAGCCGAGUUCAAUGAGAUGGAGUCCAUUUAGCCGACCAGCUCACAGGAAGGACAGGAAGAGGAGAGGAAGGACAGGAAGAGGAGAGGAAGAGGACAGGAAGGACAGGAAGGACAGGGAGAGGAAGAGGAGAGGAAGGACAGGAAGAGGAGAGGAAGGACAGGAAAGACAGGAAGAGGAGAGGAAGGACAGGAAGAGGAGAGGAAGAGGACAGGAAGGACAGGGAGAGGGAGAGGAAGGACAGGAAGAGGAGAGGAAGGACAGGAAGAGGAGAGGAAGGACAGGAAAGACAGGAAGAGGAGUUGUCUGGGUGUUGUUUUGGCCUCCCUCAUUGUACCUUUCUUUUCACACACGUCAGUUCCCUUUUAAAUUCAGUCAAUUCAUAAAGUCAUUUGUUUAUAAAGUCUUAGGAUAGCAUUCAUUAUUAGUGUUACAUAGAUUUCUGAAUUGACAGAAUCCCUCACCCUGGUGACAUCAGGUAGGUGACCAUUUGGCGUGCCCAUCUCCAUCCGGAGCGGCUCCUGGAAUGACCUCCGCAGGUAGUGGUGGAGAACACAUGUGGCCUUCACGCAGGCAUCGACAUUUGAGGGGCUGAGACCAAGCACUCUCCGAUACAUUCUCCACCGGGCUGCCAGAAUCCCAAAGGUGCAUUCAACAGUGCAAUUCAGUCUGACUGUAUCAAUAAACUGUAGCCCAGGCCAACUCUACUCUUAGAAAGAAUGGUACUAUCUACUUAAAAGGGUUCUCCAGGUGUCCCCAUAGGAGAUCCCCUUUUGGUUCCAAGUAGAACCCUAUUGGGUUCCAUGUAUAACAUUUUCCACAAAGGGUUAUACCUGGAACCAAAAAUGGUUAUCCUAUGGGGAAAGCAGAAGGACACUUUUGGAACCUUUUUCUCUAAGAGUAUGUGAGUACAAUAAAAAUGUAAUGAAUGACUAACUGUUUUGAACAACAAUGGGUCCUGGAGAAGACUAGCCUACCUUCAUCAGGGCAGAAGGCACCUCAACUUUCUUUUCAUAUUGUAACAUUGCAUAAUUAAAAAAUGAUUAUAAACACACUUUGGGAAAAGUUAUAGUCCUAAUGAACAUUCUGUAAAAGUACAUCUGAUGUCAAAUAGGGACUAUUAACUAGAGAGCCCUUUAGCUAGCUAGGUUGCACAUACAAUAACUGAUUGAUAUUUGAUACAUUGUUUUUAUCAAAUGCUUUAAAAAUGUACUAGAAUGUAGCUUACCGGAGACAAAUCGCCAGGCGUUCAACUGGGCUGAUGGACCCACACAGACCUGUGCUUUCAGGACUUUAACCAUCUCUGGACCCACACAGACCUGCGCUUUCAGCGGGGCUGGUCCCGGCCCAACAGCGUGAUCAAGACCACCUUCCUCAACGUUGGUCUCAUUGUUGAAAGAGCCUACUCUGCUAUCUUGACUAUUUAUUAUUGCAUUUCACUCAAACUGCAUUUAAGGGACAUCAUAUUAUAGGCUCUCACAAUUCAUUUGUGGAUGUCAUCGAAUAAAUAAUAUACUUGGCAAAUAAAUGAA